AUCGAAAGCAGGGCGGCGUGCUAUACAUGCAAGUCGAACGAACUCUGGUAUUGAUUGGUGCUUGCAUCAUGAUUUACAUUUGAGUGAGUGGCGAACUGGUGAGUAACACGUGGGAAACCUGCCCAGAAGCGGGGGAUAACACCUGGAAACAGAUGCUAAUACCGCAUAACAACUUGGACCGCAUGGUCCGAGUUUGAAAGAUGGCUUCGGCUAUCACUUUUGGAUGGUCCCGCGGCGUAUUAGCUAGAUGGUGGGGUAACGGCUCACCAUGGCAAUGAUACGUAGCCGACCUGAGAGGGUAAUCGGCCACAUUGGGACUGAGACACGGCCCAAACUCCUACGGGAGGCAGCAGUAGGGAAUCUUCCACAAUGGACGAAAGUCUGAUGGAGCAACGCCGCGUGAGUGAAGAAGGGUUUCGGCUCGUAAAACUCUGUUGUUAAAGAAGAACAUAUCUGAGAGUAACUGUUCAGGUAUUGACGGUAUUUAACCAGAAAGCCACGGCUAACUACGUGCCAGCAGCCGCGGUAAUACGUAGGUGGCAAGCGUUGUCCGGAUUUAUUGGGCGUAAAGCGAGCGCAGGCGGUUUUUUAAGUCUGAUGUGAAAGCCUUCGGCUCAACCGAAGAAGUGCAUCGGAAACUGGGAAACUUGAGUGCAGAAGAGGACAGUGGAACUCCAUGUGUAGCGGUGAAAUGCGUAGAUAUAUGGAAGAACACCAGUGGCGAAGGCGGCUGUCUGGUCUGUAACUGACGCUGAGGCUCGAAAGUAUGGGUAGCAAACAGGAUUAGAUACCCUGGUAGUCCAUACCGUAACGAUGAAUGCUAAGUGUUGGAGGGUUUCCGCCCUUCAGUGCUGCAGCUAACGCAUUAAGCAUUCCGCCUGGGGAGUACGGCCGCAAAGCUGAAACUCAAAGGAAUUGACGGGGGCCCGCACAAGCGGUGGAGCAUGUGUUUAAUUCGAAGCUACGCGAAGAACCUUACCAGGUCUUGACAUACUAUGCCAAUCUAGAAAUUAGACGUUCCCCUUCGGG
rnacentral:rRNA from 1 species